GACGAACGCUGGCGGCGUGCUUAACACAUGCAAGUCGAACGGAAAGGCCCUGCUUUUGUGGGGUGCUCGAGUGGCGAACGGGUGAGUAACACGUGAGUAACCUGCCCUUGACUUUGGGAUAACUUCAGGAAACUGGGGCUAAUACCGGAUAGGAGCUCCUGCUGCAUGGUGGGGGUGGGAAAGUUUCGGCGGUUGGGGAUGGACUCGCGGCUUAUCAGAUUGUUGGUGGGGUAGUGGAUUACCAAGGCUUUGACGGGUAGCCGGCCUGAGCGGGUGACCGGCCACAUUGGGACUGAGCUACGGCACAGACUACUACGGGAGGCAGCAGUGGGGAAUAUAGCACAAUGGGCGGAAGCCUGAUGCAGCAACGCAGCGCGCGGGAUGACGGCCUUCGGGUUGUAAACCGCUUUCGCCUGUGACGAAGCGUGAGUGACGGUAAUGGGUAAAGAAGCACCGGCUAACUACGUG
rnacentral:rRNA from 1 species